GCCUAGUUAGCUUAGUUGGUAGUGCGUCUGCCUCGUAAGCGCUAGGCCGUGGGUUCGAUUCCCGCACGGGGGCG
rfam:Asian citrus Psyllid, Diaphorina citri - Florida Strain, whole genome shotgun sequence.